GCAGUGCUGAUAGCUCAGUUAGUUAGGGCAUGGUGCUGAGAAUGCCGAGGUUGCAGGUUCAAACCCCUUAUGAGACAGCUGCA